CAGUAGCCGCGGUAAUACGAAGGGUGCAAGCGUUAAUCGGAAUUACUGGGCGUAAAGCGUGCGUAGGCGGUUUGUUAAGUCUGCUGUGAAAUCCCCGGGCUCAACCUGGGAAUGGCAGUGGAUACUGGCAAGCUAGAGUGUGUCAGAGGAUGGUGGAAUUCCCGGUGUAGCGGUGAAAUGCGUAGGGAUCGGGAGGAACAUCAGUGGCGAAGGCGGCCAUCUGGGACAACACUGACGCUGAGGCACGAAAGCGUGGGGAGCAAACAGGAUUAGAUACCCCGGUAGUCCCUGUCUCUUAUAA
rnacentral:rRNA from 1 species